GCGGUACUCUGACCGUGCAAAGGUAGCAUAAUCAUUUGCCUUAUAAUUGAAGGCUAGUAUGAAUGGUUUGACGAAAAUUAAGCUGUCUCUUUUUAACUAAAUAUAACUUUAUUAGUAGGUGAAGAAGCCUACUUAUUAUUGAAAGACAAGAAGACCCUAUCGAGCUUUAAAGAAUUUAGUAAGCUUAUAUAAUAUUUAUAAAAAAAAUAAAAUUACUAAAAAUUUUGGUUGGGGCGACUGAGGAACAGAUAAAGCUUCCUUUAUAAAUAAAAAACAUACAGGUAUUGAUCCAGUAAGCCUGAUUAAAGAAAUUAGUUACCGUAGGGAUAACAGCAUAAUCCCUUUUGAGAGUUCUUAUCGAAAAGGGGGUUUGUGACCUCGAUGUUGGACCAGAAUACCCAGAAGAUGCAGCUGUCUUCAAUGGUUGGUCUGUUCGACCAUUAAAAUUCU
rnacentral:rRNA from 1 species